rnacentral:rRNA from 1 species
GUCCACGCCGUAAACGUUGAUUACUCGUUGUUGGCGAUAUACUGUCAGCGACUAAGCGAAAGCGUUAAGUAAUCCACCUGGGGAGUACGACCGCAAGGUUGAAACUCAAAGGAAUUGACGGGGGCCCGCACAAGCGGUGGAGCAUGUGGUUUAAUUCGAUGAUACGCGAGGAACCUUACCAGGGCUUGAAAGUUAGUGACGAUCCGUGAAAGCGGAUUUCCUUCGGAGCACGAAACUAGGUGCUGCAUGGCUGUCGU